rnacentral:rRNA from 1 species
GAUGAACGCUGGCGGCGUGCCUAAUACAUGCAAGUCGAGCGAACAGACGAGGAGCUUGCUCCUCUGACGUUAGCGGCGGACGGGUGAGUAACACGUGGAUAACCUACCUAUAAGACUGGGAUAACUUCGGGAAACCGGAGCUAAUACCGGAUAAUAUAUUGAACCGCAUGGUUCAAUAGUGAAAGACGGUUUUGCUGUCACUUAUAGAUGGAUCCGCGCCGCAUUAGCUAGUUGGUAAGGUAACGGCUUACCAAGGCGACGAUGCGUAGCCGACCUGAGAGGGUGAUCGGCCACACGGGAGCUGAGACACGGUCCAGACUCCUAAGGGAGGCAGCAGUAGGCAAUCUGCCGCAAUGGGCGAAAGCUUGACGGAGCAACGCCGCGUGAGUGAUGAAGGUCUUCGGAUCGUAAAACUCUGUUAUUAGGGAAGAACAAAUGUGUAAGUAACUAUGCACGUCUUGACGGUACCUAAUCAGAAAGCCACGGCUAACUACGUG